rnacentral:rRNA from 1 species
AACGAACGCUGGCGGCGUGCCUAACACAUGCAAGUCGAACGAGAAAGCUCCUUCGGGAGUGAGUAGAGUGGCGCACGGGUCAGUAACUCGUGGGUAAUCUGCCCUCAGGCGAGGUACAACCUGUCGAAAGACGGGCUAAUACCUCGUAAGACCACAGGAUCUCCGGAUCCCGGGGUAAAAGGUGGCUUUGCUGCCGCCUGAGGAUGAGCUCGCGCACCAUUAGCUUGUUGGUAGGGUAACGGCCUACCAAGGCCGAGAUGGUUAGCUGGUCUGAGAGGACGACCAGCGACACUGGAACUGAGACACGGUCCAGACUCCUACGGGAGGCAGCAGUGAGGAAUAUUGGACAAUGGGCGAAAGCCUGAUCCAGCGACGCCGCGUGGGUGAUGAAGGCCUUCGGGUCGUAAAGCCCUGUCAGAUGGGAAGAAUAAAGGGCGACCUAAUACGUCGCUUCCUGACGGUACCAUCAAAGGAAGCACCGGCUAACUCUGUG